GGUGCCCCCCCACUCUGAAAAAAGGGGGAUUGCUGUUAGGGCAAAGCCAAACUGCAGAGACUGAAGUCUUGAACAGUAGGGCAGAGAGGAGAAAAAGGGGCAGAGGCUAUGACAGCUAAGAUCUCAACCGGUGCCUCAGCAACCUAUGGGUAUAUUCCCUUUACAGGGGAAGUACCAUGAGAAGGUGAAAAGGCCCCUAGGUGUGGCUGCUCAGAUGGGACAGAGCAGCCUACCCCGCAGAAGACUACUGCCCCAUCACAACAAGGAAUAUCAGUUGUGGCAGACGAGUGACUGGAGUUCCUGUGCCUGAUGCACUCUGCGAUAGAGCCCUGGAUUCUUGCAAAAAGAUCUCCAUGCCUUCAUAAAGCCACAGUGGAGUCAAUGGAGCUUCACCUAAGCAAAGAGCCUGAUCGACUUCUUAUGCUGUUUUACAUCAGUGCAUGUUCAGCUGAUGCCCUGGGGUUCUUCUCAGUUUGCAUGAUUGAAUAACUGUAAAGAGCUGGACACUAUACAGGCAGGCGCGAUUUGAGCAGCUGCACAUCCAAUUUAUUUUUAUGAGGUUGUGAGUGAUAAAGCCAGCAAUUCCCAGAAUGAAUUUUGGCCAAAAUAUGUUUUGAUUCUGAACUAGAUCCUUUUCCUUUAGACACUAUACACCAUAAACCUCUCAUAGAAACUCUGUAAAACACCUCUCUACAUAUCAGAUGUCUCUGAUGGUUCACUGAUCAUGAGAAUGUUUGUAAUGUAUACUAAAACUGAUUAAUAAUCAUGUUUGAGUGAAAUAUUUGAAAUAGGAUUGUGCAUAUAUAGUAUUUAGUUUAAAGGCAAUUUCACAUACAUCCCAGUGAAAUGCAGAAUC